GCAGGCUGCAACUCGCCUGCACGAAGCCGGAGUUGCUAGUAAUCGCGGAUCAGAAUGCCGCGGUGAAUGCGUUCCCGGGUCUUGUACACACCGCCCGUCACACCAUGGAAGUUGGGGGUGCCCAAAGCCGGCAGGGAAAUAUGCUGUCUAAGGCAAAACCAAUGACUGGGGUGAAGUCGUAACAAGGUAAC
rnacentral:rRNA from 1 species